AGUGUGAUUGCUGGAUCGUAUGGUAAGAGGAUGUUUAGUUUUGCAAGCAACUGCCAAACUGUCUUCCAAAGUGGCUGUACCAUUUUGCACUCCUACCGGCAAU
rnacentral:pre_miRNA from 1 species